AGCCAUUAUCCAAUUUCUCAGGGGUCAAUAAUGAGGGCAGACUUAAAGUCAAGUAAAAGUUUUUACCAUGUACAGAACAGUCAACUAGGUCUGUGUUCCUCACACAAUAUAUGUCUAGCCUCUCUUCCUUUGCACUGGUCACCCAUUCCAAGAGUACCCUCCCUCUUCUUUACCUCAUAGAGUUUGGAAUUUCUUUCAAGAGUCAGUUUAGGGGAUUGAGAGUCAGGCCUGGAGAUGGAAGAUAGAUAUAUGACCUUAGACACUUCUAUGUGAUCCCAGACCUGCUUCCCUAGAAAGAGGCUAUAGCUUGGCCCCUGGCUAUAGCCAUUAAUGGUGAUGCUCUCUGCCCAGACCAUGACUUCAAAUGUGAUAGAGACAUCAAGGGACAUUGAACAGAACAUAAGCUUCCAUGCAGGAAAAUGUAAAAGGCACAAAGUGUGGCAUCCUUGCUACCUCUCAAAACUCAGUCAGACCUUUGCUUCCUUUGGUUGGCAGUAGCUUUACCUGGGUACAAAGGAUGAGGCAGAACAGUCACCUGAAGUCAGGGAAAAUGGAAAGCUGAGCAACAAAGAGGCUGGUAGUCAAGGGCUACUUGACAAGAUCUGUCAUCCAACCCCUCUACAACCUCCCUGGUUCAGGUCUUCAUUUCUUCUCACCUUAACAACUGUAAUAGCCUCUUGGUAGAGGAGUCUCUCCCCUCUGCAAUCUGUUUCACAAGUGACCUUCUAAAUGUACUGUUACUCUCCACCAAAACCUUCAAAGACUGACUCCAUUGUCCCUCACAUAAAGUUUAAUUGAUGACUC
rnacentral:lncRNA from 1 species